rnacentral:other from 1 species
UGGAGAAUACCUGUUAUUCUAUUGAUAAUGUAUUUAUGGUUCGGAAGUUUUAAAGGCUCGACGUUCUUAUAAGAAUGGCUCCUUUUUACCCCAGCUUUCAAAUGCAAAUAAUAUUGCGCUAUGCGCACACGGAGGUUUCAUUCUUAUGGAACAAGGUACUGUUAAAUGGUUCAACGCUGAUAAAGGUUACGGCUUCAUCACUUUGGAAAACGGCUCAGACGUGUUCGUUCACUUCUCAGCUAUCAACAGUGAAGGCUUCAAGACGCUUGAAGAAGGCCAACACGUAUCCCUUGAUGUAGAACAAGGCGACCGUGGCCCACAAGCUGCUAACGUAUCGGUUGUCGACUAAUUUACAUUAGCCUAAAUCGUGUCGUAAAAAACCACUAACUUCGGUUAAUGGUUUUUUU